rnacentral:lncRNA from 1 species
UCCACUCACACUGCAAGGAGUUGCAUCCUUCCCUUCUCUUCUCUUCCCCUCAGUGCCUCCAGGGGCCAUGCAGAAAGGGAACAGGUGGCACCAGAGUCUCAGGGACCGCAGGAGCAGAGGACCAAAAGCAGUCAAAUUUAAAACUGUGAGAACCCAUCUCAGGGAAAUCUGAGCUGGGUUCCUGAACAUACCACAGAAUGUGUCAUCAAGACCACGGAUAAGUUCUCCACCUAGCCGACUGGGAAACUGGAAGCCAGAGAGGGCAGAUGGAAGCUGAGGAGGCCAGAUGGAUGUGAUAAAAGAUGCUGGGCCCUAGGUGUGUUGAGUGGGUGCCUCACAUCCCCUUCUGUCCCCAGCAUCCUCUGGCUCUUCAGUUAUGAGCUCAGACCCCCACAGGAGUGACCCACCAAGCAGACUAAAUACAUGCUCACUAACCAGUGAGUUGGAGACACCCAACAAGGAGAAUAAACAUAAUUUCUGAA